GGAUGCAUAGGAAAAAUGGUCAAUUUGCAUCUUUGAAAUCAAGUUCUGGAUCUUCUAGCUGCGAUUCAGCCAAGAGUAGCCUUGAAGGAGAUGGCACACAACAUUCUCUAACUAUUCCUGGAAAGUGUCACCAUUGUGGUGUGAGUGAAAAUUGUACGCCAGCGAUGCGUCGUGGGCCAGAUGGACCAAGGACACUCUGCAAUGCAUGUGGACUUAAGUGGGCAAACAAGGGAACAUUGAGAGAUCUAAGCAAGGCAGGGAGGAAAAUUUCUGUUGAACCAAACGAACUGGGAACUCCUAACAAUCCCGUGAAGGCAUUUGCUGAAGGAUCCCUUGAUCAUUGUGCUGAUGUGGAAAAGAAUCUAUUCAGCUCUGGUAGCAAUCUUGCAAAUGAUAUUCCUGCGGGUAUCAUUAGUUCUUCGAACAAUCUUGUUGAGCAGGAAACUGUAGUUGAUUUUGGACAUGCUUCCAAAACUGAGCUCGUCAUUCCUGCGAACUUUGACUAGUUGACUGCCUGUAAAUUGUUGUUGUAACAUACCCACUUGAAGUUAACAUUUCCUUUCUGGAGAGACGCUACUAUUUCAAACUGACCCUGUUAAAUUUGGGAUGGUUGCUGUUGAUGUGUGAAAUUUGAUGCCUGUAGAUGAGUAAGUAAAUAUUAUUGGUGCCUAACCAAUCCAUACAAAGUGAUUAACUGUGUCCUGUUCAUUGCAAGCUAGUUGGUGGUUUGUGUAUAUAUGUGCUGUAUAUAUUGUAACAGCUUGCUUAAUACUAAUAAGGUGUGUUUGCGUUUCCAGCUUCUCUGUGGACGAGC
rnacentral:misc_RNA from 1 species